AGUGAACGCUGGCGGUAGGCCUAACACAUGCAAGUCGAACGGCAGCACAGAGGAGCUUGCUCCUUGGGUGGCGAGUGGCGGACGGGUGAGGGAUACAUCGGAAUCUACUCUGUCGUGGGGGAUAACGUAGGGAAACUUACGCUAAUACCGCAUACGACCUACGGGUGAAAGCAGGGGAUCUUCGGACCUUGCGCGAUUGAAUGCGCCGAUGUCGGAUUAGCUAGUUGGCGGGGUAAAGGCCCACCAAGGCGACGAUCCGUAGCUGGUCUGAGAGGAUGAUCAGCCACACUGGAACUGAGACACGGUCCAGACUCCUACGGGAGGCAGCAGUGGGGAAUAUUGGACAAUGGGCGCAAGCCUGAUCCAGCCAUACCGCGUGGGUGAAGAAGGCCUUCGGGUUGUAAAGCCCUUUUGUUGGGAAAGAAAUCCAUCUGGUUAAUACCCGGGUGGGAUGACGGUACCCAAAGAAUAAGCACCGGCUAACUUCGUGCCAGCAGCCGCGGUAA
rnacentral:rRNA from 1 species